GACGAACGCUGGCGGCGUGCUUAACACAUGCAAGUCGAACGGAAAGGCCCUGCUUUUGUGGGGUGCUCGAGUGGCGAACGGGUGAGUAACACGUGAGUAACCUGCCCUUGACUUUGGGAUAACUUCAGGAAACUGGGGCUAAUACCGGAUAGGAGCUCCUGCUGCAUGGUGGGGGUUGGAAAGUUUCGGCGGUUGGGGAUGGACUCGCGGCUUAUCAGCUUGUUGGUGGGGUAGUGGCUUACCAAGGCUUUGACGGGUAGCCGGCCUGAGAGGGUGAACGGCCACAUUGCGACUGAGGUACGCACCAGUCGCCUACGGGAGGCAACAGUGGGGAAUAUUGCACAAUGGGCGGAAGCCUGAUGCAGCGACGCCGCGUGCGGGAUGACGGCCUUCUGGUUAUGAACCGCUUUCGCCUGUGACGAAGCGUGAGUGACGGUAAUGAAUAAAGAAGCACCGGCUAACUACGUG
rnacentral:rRNA from 1 species